rnacentral:rRNA from 1 species
CCAGACUCCUACGGGAGGCAGCAGUGGGGAAUAUUGCACAAUGGGCGCAAGCCUGAUGCAGCCAUGCCGCGUGUAUGAAGAAGGCCUUCGGGUUGUAAAGUACUUUCAGCGGGGAGGAAGGUGCUGAGGUUAAUAACCUCAGCCAUUGACGUUACCCGCAGAAGAAGCACCGGCUAACUCCGUGCCAGCAGCCGCGGUAAUACGGAGGGUGCAAGCGUUAAUCGGAAUUACUGGGCGUAAAGCGCGCGCAGGCGGUCGGUCAAGUCUGAUGUGAAAGCCCCGGGCUCAACCGGGGAACUGCAUCCGAAACCGGCAGGCUUGAGUCUAGUAGAGGGGGGUAGAAUUCCAUGUGUAGCGGUGAAAUGCGUAGAGAUCUGGAGGAACACCGGUGGCGAAGGCGGCCCCCUGGACAAAAACUGACGCUCAGGUGCGAAAGCGUGGGUAGCAAACAGGAUUAGAUACCCUGGUAA